rnacentral:rRNA from 1 species
AGAGUUUGAUUAUGGCUCAGGAUGAACGCUGGCGGCGUGCUUAACACAUGCAAGUCGAACGAGGCUUGUCGACGGAAAUUUCGGAUGGAAGACGGCAUGACCGAGUGGCGGACGGGUGAGUAACGCGUGGGAACCUGCCCCAUUCCGGGGGAUACCAGUUGGAAACGACUGUUAAUACCGCAUAAGCGCACGGGAAGGCAUCUUCCAGUGUGAAAAACUGAGGUGGAAUGGGAUGGCCCCGCGUCUGAUUAGCCAGUUGGCAGGGUAACGGCCUACCAAAGCGACGAUCAGUAGCCGGCCUGAGAGGGCGACCGGCCACAUUGGGACUGAGACACGGCCCAAACUCCUACGGGAGGCAGCAGUGGGGAAUAUUGCACAAUGGGGGGAACCCUGAUGCAGCGAACCGCCGCGUGAGUGAGGAAGUAUUUCGGUAUGUAAAGCUCUAUCAGCAGGGAAGAAGAUGACGGUACCUGCACAAGAAGCCCCGGCUAACUACGUGCCAGCCGCUGC